rnacentral:rRNA from 1 species
AGGGAUCAUUACCGAGUUUUCAACUCCCUAACCCUUCUGUGAACCUACCUAUCGUUGCUUCGGCGGACUCGCCCCAGCCCGGACGCGGACUGGACCAGCGGCCCGCCGGGGACCUCAAACUCUUGUAUUCCAGCAUCUUCUGAAUACGCCGCAAGGCAAAACAAAUGAAUCAAAACUUUCAACAACGGAUCUCUUGGCUCUGGCAUCGAUGAAGAACGCAGCGAAACGCGAUAAGUAAUGUGAAUUGCAGAAUCCAGUGAAUCAUCGAAUCUUUGAACGCACAUUGCGCCCGCCAGCAUUCUGGCGGGCAUGCCUGUUCGAGCGUCAUUUCAACCCUCGACCUCCCCUUGGGGGGGUCGGCGUUGGGGACCGGCAGCACACCGCCGGCCCUGAAAUGGAGUGGCGGCCCGUCCGCGGCGACCUCUGCGCAGUAAUACAGCUCGCACCGGAACCCCGACGCGGCCACGCCGUAAAACACCCAACUUCUGAACGUUGACCUCGAAUCAGGUAGGACUACCCGCUGAACUUAA